rnacentral:rRNA from 1 species
GACGAACGCUGGCGGCGUGCUUAACACAUGCAAGUCGAACGGAGAGGCCCUGCUUGCAGGGUACUCGAGUGGCGAACGGGUGAGUAACACGUGGGUGAUCUGCCCUGCACUUCGGGAUAAGCCUGGGAAACUGGGUCUAAUACCGGAUAGAGCCAAUUUUUGUGGGGUGGGUGGGAAGGUUUUUCCGGUGUAGGAUGAGCUCGCGGCCUAUCAGCUUGUUGGUGGGGUAAUGGCCUACCAAGGCGGCGACGGGUAGCCGGCCUGAGAGGGUGGACGGCCACAUUGGGACUGAGAUACGGCCCAGACUCCUACGGGAGGCAGCAGUGGGGAAUAUUGCACAAUGGGCGCAAGCCUGAUGCAGCGACGCCGCGUGGGGGAUGACGGCCUUCGGGUUGUAAACUCCUUUCGCUAGGGACGAAGCUUUUUGUGACGGUACCUAGAGAAGAAGCACCGGCUAACUACGUG